CUCCUGAUCUUCUGACACUAUUUCUGGACAUGACUAACCAUAGAGAAUGCCUUACUGCUUGAUGUGGAGAAUGAAGGCAAAGGAAGAAAAUGAAACUUUCUUACAACUUACAACCCACUGAUAAGUCCUUGAGAAAGGCAGUGACCUUCCUCUAGAAACUCAACUGCUUCGAGGGUAAUACUUUGCUAGGAGGAAAAGCAAGCCCAAUCUCCAGGAACUUUGCUCCAUCCAGAGAAGGUCAUCUGAGGCUUGUUCUGAUUUAUUUUUCUCCUGCGAUUUCUCCUUUAUCCCACUUGACACGUUUUAUGGUAGAGUUCCCUUGUGAUGAAGCGCAAGUGUUCUUCUGAGUUACGGACAACUUCCUGUUUUCUUUCCCCCCACCGAAUCGUCCUGAAGAUGGCUUUGUUCCCAUUUUGUCCUAGAGAACAGGAGGAAAGCCUUUGAGUGAAACUUGAUGUCACUGAGGAGGAAAGAAGUUUGAAAGCCAUAGAGACAUGGCUUAUAUUUGGUGCGGAAGUUAUUGAAGAGGAAGAAUUUAUCAUAAAUCAUUGUGAGCCUUGUCGUUGUCAUCACAUCAUCAUCAGCAUCAUCAUCACCAUCCUCCUAGCCAACGUCAUCGUCCCCAGCAUUGUCCUUGUUUUCAGUACCACUCGGUACUUGUGUGCAUGCGAGGCGGCGUUAGGAAUGCCAUAACAAUGGAAUCAAAUGUACACAGUCCUGCCUUUCUGUCAUGCCGUUGAAGGCGACUCACAUCCAUACAUUUGCUGACAAUAAAAUAUUCAAUUUUGAA